rnacentral:lncRNA from 1 species
CUUCAAAUGAACUGGCAUGUCCAAGUUGCUCCAGUAGGAGUGAAGGUGAGUGUGUAUGAAAGCACACUGUGAUAGAAUCGCUGGCUGUCCAAGACUGGUUCCUACCUGAUGCCCUGAGUUGCUGGGAUGGACUCCGGACACCCCAGACUCUGAACUGAGUAAUCGGCUUGUCUCAUGUCAGUGAUUUUUCAAUAAAUCCUUAUGAAGUCAAGAGCCCAUGGACCCCACAGUACAGUGCAGCAAGCAGGAUGAUCAAAGUUGCUUUUCUGUUCUGGAAGCCACAGUUGAAGAGAACACAGGAAACUACUCUCCUGGCAAUGGGCCAUGGCAAGGCCUGGGGAAAUGUGGAGUUCUCCCCAGCACAACUGUGCCCUCUGACAAUGCUGCUUAACAGGACUGGAUCCUGAAUUCUUUCCUGGCCACAAGUCUCCAAACUAAUGUUUUCAAGUUUAUUUUUCUCCUGUUUUUCUGAAAUCACUAAACUGUGCUUUUCUUAAA